rnacentral:rRNA from 1 species
GCUGGCGGCGUGCUUAACACAUGCAAGUCGCACGAGAACGCUUCAGCUUGCUGAAGUUAGUAAAGUGGCGCACGGGUGAGUAACGCGUGGGUAAUCUCCCCCCGAAUUGGGGAUAACAUCGCGAAAGCGAUGCUAAUACCGGAUAAUAUCUUAAAAACCUCGGUUUUAAAGAUCAAAGGUGGCCUCUACAUGUAAGCUUCUGUUUGGGGAUGAGCCCGCGUACCAUUAGCUUGUUGGUAGGGUAAUGGCCUACCAAGGCUGCGAUGGUUAGCUGGUCUGAGAGGAUGAUCAGCCACACUGGAACUGACACACGGUCCAGACUCCUACGGGAGGCAGCAGUGAGGAAUUUUGCGCAAUGGGGGAAACCCUGACGCAGCAACGCCGCGUGAGUGAUGAAGGCUUUCGGGUCGUAAAGCUCUGUCAAGUGGGAAGAACCCACAUGGUGAUAAUACCGCUAUGUGUUGACGGUACCACUGAAGGAAGCACCGGCUAACUCCGUGCCAGCAUCCGCGGUAAUACGGGGGGUGCAAGCGUUAUUCGGAAUUAUUGGGCGUAAAGCGAGUGCAGGCGGUAUUAUAAGUCAGAUGUGAAAGCCCGGGGCUCAACCCCGGAAGUGCAUUUGAAACUGUAAUACUUGAGUAUGGGAGAGGAAAGUGGAAUUCCUGGUGUAGAGGUGAAAUUCGUAGAUAUCAGGAGGAACACCAGUGGCGAAGGCGACUUUCUGGACCAAUACUGACGCUCAGACUCGAAGGCGUGGGGAGCGAACAGGAUUAGAUACCCUGGUAGUCCACGCAGUAAACGUUGACAACUAGGUGUCGCGGGUAUGACCCCUGCGGUGCCGGAGCUAACGCAUUAAGUUGUCCGCCUGGGGAGUACGAUCGCAAGAUUAAAACUCAAAGGAAUUGACGGGGGCCCGCACAAGCGGUGGAGCAUGUGGUUUAAUUCGACGCAACUCGAAGAACCUUACCUGGAUUUGACAUCCUGGGAAUAUUUUCGAAGGAUUUUAGUGCCCCCUCGGGGAGCUUGCACAGGUGCUGCAUGGCUGUCGUCAGCUCGUGCCGUGAGGUGUCCGGUUAAGUCCGGUAACGAGCGCAACCCUUGUCGUAUGUUAUACGUGUCAUACGAGACUGCCGGUAAAAAGCCGGAGGAAGGUGGGGAUGACGUCAAGUCCGCAUGGCCUUUAUGUCCAGGGCUACACACACGCUACAAUGGCCGGUACAAUGGGUCGCGAAGCCGCGAGGCGGAGCCAAUCCUCCAAAGCCGGUCUCAGUUCGGAUCGUAGGCUGCACCCCGCCUGCGUGACGUCGGAGUUGCUAGUAACCGCAGGACAGCUAUACUGCGGUGAAUCCGUUCCCGGGCCUUGUACACACCGCCCGUCACGUCAUGGAAGCUGGCAACACCUGAAGCCGGUGACCCAACCGCAAGGAGGGAACCGCCUAAGGUGGGGCUGGUAACUGGGACGAAGUCGUAACAAGGUAACC